GCGUCCAAGUCACGUUACAGGCGCCGCGGAAUUUAGGGAAUCUCCUUGACCCGACUUUCAAGGCCAAGUGAUAACUCAGUCAUUUUCUUUCUCGAGCCAACCGGUGUUAGAUGCGAGCGGGUUCUACUUCCUGGGGCGGGAAGGAAGCUGCUGCUUAAAAGAACUGCAGAAGCCACGUGGGCCGCGCGGCUCCGCGCAGAAAAUAGAUCUGACGGGCGAGACACUUGUUUGCGCCACGGCCCCUGGGGAGCUCUCAGACCUUGGUGGGAAGGCAGAUUGGCAAUCUGCUCACGUUAAAAUGCUGGGCAGUGAGCUGGUGGUGGUGACUGCAGAGUUGAGAAAAAGCAUUUGGCCCAACCUGAGGAUGAUCGGAUAAAAACUGUUCAGGACGUCUGAGCAUGUGCAGGCACGCCGUAGCAACCGAGUGGCGGUUAGAGGGAUAAUGUGCGGUUGUUGCUCACCUUUUCACCACGUUGGGAUCCCGGGACCUAACUCAGUGUUAACCAGCCACCGCACACUCCCACCGCCAUGCUUCCCUGCCAGAAUGGAUUGGAUCCCUUCCAACUGUGAGCCAGAAUGGAGCCUUUCUUCCCUAAGCAGCUUUUGUCUGGAAUCCUGUCACAGCAGUGAGAAGGAAAAGUAACUAAUACAACUGACUAUAUAUUGAUUUGUUUUGUCAAACUAUGGAACAACAACCAAAAAAAAAAAAAAAGAAAAGAAAAGAAAGAAAAACCUGAUGAUUUAAAACAAACACAGACAUCGUAGGGACUGUGAGAAGGUGCUAAAGAGUGCCAGUGAUCAGAUGACCCUGCUAAACAGGGUAACAGGCUGUGUGAAGAUGGCUCUGGAGCCAGAGGAACAAAUGUAGAGGCUCCUACGCUGGACCUGUAAGAAGCAGCAGUGUGGAAGGCAGAGCAGGAAGAUAGGUAGAAGCAGGUAGGGUUUCCUAUUGCUGCUGUAACAAGUAAGCACCAAGUCUGUGGUUUAUUAGCAACACAAAUUCACCAUCUUACCAGUCUGGUUGUCAGAAGUCUAAAAAGCCCUGUUCUGGAGGAGAAUCUAUUCCUUCCCUUUUCCAACUUCUGAAUGAAGUUCACCUAUACUCCUCAGCUAGUGGCCCAGUCCUCCAGCUUCAAAGCCAGCAGUACAGCAUUUUUCUAACAUGUACCUUAUCCUUAAACACUCUCUCUCUCUCUCUCUCUCUCUCUCUCUCUCUCUCUCUCUCUCUCUCUCUCUCUCAUAACUUUAUUUUAUGUGCAUUGGUGUGAAGGUGUCAGAUCCCCAGGAACUGGAGUUACAGACAGUUGUGAGC